GACGAACGCUGGCGGCGUGCUUAACACAUGCAAGUCGAACGGAAAGGCCCUGCUUUUGUGGGGUGCUCGAGUGGCGAACGGGUGAGUAACACGUGAGUAACCUGCCCUUGACUUUGGGAUAACUUCAGGAAACUGGGGCUAAUACCGGAUAGGAGCUCCUGCUGCAUGGUGGGGGUUGGAAAGUUUCGGCGGUUGGGGAUGGACUCGCGGCUUAUCAGCUUGUUGGUGGGGUAGUGGCUUACCAAGGCUUUGACGGGUAGCCGGCCUGAGAGGGUGACCGGCCAGCGUGGGAGUGGGGGGCCGCCCAGACGGGUGCAGGGUGCGGCAGGGGGGAGGAGUGCACGAGGGGCGGGAGCCUGACGCAGCAGCGCGGAGGGCGGGAGGACGGCCUGUGGGUUGUAACGCGCUUUCGCCGGGGACGAGGGGGGAGUGAGGGAAAUGGGAAAAGAAGCACCGGCAAACGACGGGCCAGCGGGCGGGGUAAGACUCGGAACAGCACCCGUCGGAUC
rnacentral:rRNA from 1 species